rnacentral:rRNA from 1 species
UCAUAUGCUUGUCUCAAAGAUUAAGCCAUGCAUGUCUAAGUACGUGCCUAAGAAAGGUGAAACCGCGAAUGGCUCAUUAAAUCAGUUAUGGUUCCUUAGAUCGUACCUUACUACUUGGAUAACUGUGGUAAUUCUAGAGCUAAUACAUGCAGCAGAGCUCCGACCUUCGGGGACGAGCGCUUUUAUUAGACCAAGACCAAUCGGACCUCGGUCCGAAGCUCAUGGUGACUCUGGAUAACUUUGGGCUGAUCGCACGGUCUCGUACCGGCGACGCAUCUUUCAAGUGUCUGCCUUAUCAACUUUCGAUGGUAGGUUAUGCGCCUACCAUGGUCGUAACGGGUAACGGGGAAUCAGGGUUCGAUUCCGGAGAGGGAGCCUGAGAAACGGCUACCACAUCCAAGGAAGGCAGCAGGCGCGCAAAUUACCCACUCCCGGCACGGGGAGGUAGUGACGAAAAAUAACAAUACGGGACUCUAUUGAGGCCCCGUAAUUGGAAUGAGUACACUCUAAAUCCUUUAACGAGGAUCUAUUGGAGGGCAAGUCUGGUGCCAGCAGCCGCGGUAAUUCCAGCUCCAAUAGCGUAUAUUAAAGUUGUUGCGGUUAAAAAGCUCGUAGUUGGAUCUCAGUUCCAGACGGGUGGUCCACCCCUGGUGGCUACUGCCUGGCCUGAACAAAUCCAGCCGGUUUUCCUUGAUGCUCUUCACCGAGUGUCUUGGGUGACCGGCACGUUUACUUUGAAAAAAUUAGAGUGCUCAAAGCAGGCGUGACGCCUGAAUAAUGGUGCAUGGAAUAAUGGAAUAGGACCUCGGUUCUAUUUUGUUGGUUUUCGGAACACGAGGUAAUGAUUAAGAGGGACAGACGGGGGCAUUCGUAUUGCGACGCUAGAGGUGAAAUUCUUGGACCGUCGCAAGACGAACUACU